rnacentral:misc_RNA from 1 species
AAGUCGUAACAAGGUAACCGUAGGUGAACCUGCGGUUGGAUCAUUACAAUAAUGGACUCUGUCCAGUACACUCUCGUGUACCCUCUGUGAACCAUCUGGUUUCUUUGGCGAUGUCUCACGACUCGUCAAACUAAAACUCUGAUAAUCUCAUAAAGUCUGAGUUUUAUGAAAUACAUAAAAACUUUCAACAACGGAUCUCUUGGUUCCA